rnacentral:misc_RNA from 2 species
AAGUCGUAACAAGGUUUCCGUAGGUGAACCUGCGGAAGGAUCAUUAACAAAGUUCGCUUCUCUGAAGCAACUGAUCUCUAACACCUGUGCAUCUUGUCGCUCCGGCGAUAUAUCAAACAUCAGUGUAAAGAAUGUAAUUUAUUAUAACAAAUACAACUUUCAACAACGGAUCUCUUGGCUCUC